GAGUUUGAUCAUGGCUCAGGACGAACGCUGGCAGCGUGCUUAACACAUGCAAGUCACGGGGGCCCGCAAGGGCAACCGGCGAACGGGUGCGUAACACGUGAGCAAGCUUCCGAUUUGUGGGGGAUAGCCGGCCUAACGGCCGGGUAAUACCGCAUACGUUCACUGGGCGGCAUCGUCUGGUGAGGAAACCUCCGGGGCAAAUCGAGGCGCUCGCGGCCUAUCAGCUAGUUGGCGGGGUAAUGGCCCACCAAGGCGACGACGGGUAGCUGGUCUGAGAGGAUGGCCAGCCACAUUGGGACUGCGACACGGCCCAGACUCCUACGGGAGGCAGCAGUGGGGAAUAUUGCGCAAUGGACGAAAGUCUGACGCAGCGACGCCGCGUGUGGGAUGAAGCUCUUCGGGGUGUAAACCACUGUUGCCCGGGACGAAUGCCCUUUCGAGGGAAUUGACGGUACCGGGUGAGGAAGCACCGGCUAACUCUGUGCCAGCCGCCGCCGUAAG
rnacentral:rRNA from 2 species